rnacentral:rRNA from 1 species
AUUGAACGCUGGCGGCAGGCCUAACACAUGCAAGUCGAACGAGUGGCGGACGGGAGAGUAAUGGCUGGGAAACUGCCCGAGGGAGGGGGAUCACUACUGGAAACUGUAGCUAAUACCGCAUACCAUCGGAUGUGCCCAGAUGGGAUUAGCGAGUAGGUGGGGUAAAGGCUCACCUAGGCGACGAUCCCUAGCUGGUCUCAGAGGAUGACCAGCCACACUGGAACUGAGAUACGGUCCAGACGCCUACGGGAGGCAGCAGUGGGGAAUAUUGGACAAUGGGCGCAAGCCUGAUGCAGCCAUGCCGCGGGUAUGAAGAAGGCCUUCGGGUGGUAAAGUACUUGCAGCGAGGAGGCGUUACUCGCAGAAGAAGCAUCGGCUAACUCCGUGCCAGCCGCCGCGGUAAUAC